rnacentral:lncRNA from 1 species
GUUUGUGAUUGAUUGAUUGUUGGUUGCUUAACGUCCAGUGGCAAAUAUUUCAUGCAUGUUUAGAACUAUAAGAGGUUUGUGUAAAAUAUGACUCACUACUCAUCGGUUAAACAUCCCUGUAGAGUUUCAAAAGCAUUGCAUAAUGACUUUGCAUUUACACCUUAACUCCACCUUUUGCGGACAUUGCAUUCAUACAUAGGUGAUUGUGGACAACAGAAAUCAUAUAAGAUUUAUUCGAAGUGGUUUCAUAUAUAGGACACCAAAAUGAUGCCCAACAGUAUAUUCUAUUGUCUUUAAAUGGACCAGGUUUGGAGUUCGAUUUCCCCCAGAAUUUUGUCAUCUUAGCGGGAAAAAAAUUAUCCAUGUCGAUCGCCCCUCUUUAUCCGCUACAGGCGCCAUCAACUUAGAGCUAAACCACGAGCAGAAAGAAGAAAAUCUU